UUUCUUCAAAACAACAUUCCAACAGUCCUCUAAUCAAAUACAACUAUGAGAAUUCAGUUAUUAAAAAAACAACCACUAGCUAGAAUACAUGAUGAAUCAAAUGACUACAAUCACAAACACCAUGAAAUAAAUUCAACUGAAGUGCAGAUAGAGCCAUGGCCAUGCUUUCAACUCUAUUUUUUACUCCACCUGCAAAUUGAAAUUUACAUUAGGUAGAAUUCAGAGGAGGUGUACUUGAAGAUAUUGGAAAAACAAAAGAAGUGAGGGAUCAAUAGAACAAACAGCAGCAGGCAGACAUCCAGCAACAAUAAUGAAAUAGUAUAGGAUCAGCAAACCAGAAUAACUUUGGAAAACCCAAACCCAACUUUUACCCCUUACAGGCCCUUACAGGACAACCAAAAUCCGGGUCUCAAUUGACCCAAAUUAAUGGGUCCUAAUAAACCCAAAUUAAAUUCUUAUUGAGCCCUUUUAUUUUUAGAAUCCAACGUUGACACUAAAAAUUUAGAAAAUUCUCUAAGGCCAAUCCACAGAGUCUUAUGGACUUGUGGAAUUUAGGUCCAACUAGGAACAAACUAAAAACACGUUUAAACUAAAAAUCAGAACCAAUUAUUGACUACACGAAUUUUAAGUGAAACAUGCAAACAUGGAUGUGCUGAUGAGAAAAAAAAAAUAGAAAACAAAACAACAGAAAAUCAGAAAAGAAAAGAAAUAAAUAGAAGAAGAUGAGAAAUGGACAAUGAUUGACAAACUAAAGCGAAGGAAAACACCCUAAUAUCCUGGAUAGUGAGUACUCGAAAAACCAUCAAAUCUUCCAAAUUUGGACGAGUCUGACCUUAUUCGUAUGUUCUUGCCAAAAACACACGAAAAAGGAGAACAAAACCUAAAUCGUCGAAGAAAUCUUGAUUGUUAAGCUUUUUUGGAUUUUAGAUCUCAGACUUUCGUUUCCAGAUUCGAAAGGUUUGAGGGAUAUUCGGAGGAAGAUCUUUGUGGAUUCGAUAUGAGAGAGUUUUGGGGUUUCAAUGAUGGUAAUUUGUGGGGAGUUUUGUAGUGGUUUUUGGUUGCUUAGGGUUGAGCCGCCAUUAGAAAGGGCUGAGGGAUUUUGGGGCAACUGUCAUUUAAGAUUUGUGAACAGAGGGGUUGUGAG
rnacentral:lncRNA from 1 species